CAGCUGUAUCCAAAAAUUCUGCCUGUAGAGAAACACGAUAAAGAGUGAUGAAAUUAAGCAACACAUUAAGACUUUUUUGUAACAUCACCAUGUUACAAAGCGUCACAACAGUCUAUAUAUCGGCACUCAUAUUAUUACAGGAGCAGCAGCACCCCAUUAAAGGAAAUAAAUGACUAAGGAUGCUUGUACAUGGGUUCUCAACUCACAUCACAAAUUCCUAACUAUAAGAUUCUCCAUUACCAAAGAAAUGAUACAAGUUCUUUCCAGCAUUUUUUGGCAGCAACUGAGCAGCGCUUUUAAUGUUCCUUCCCAGUAGGCAUUCACAUUGCAUAUACUAUCUCUCCACUACUAUCCAUGUCAAG
rnacentral:misc_RNA from 1 species